GCAGCGCGGUGGGUGUGCUUCCAAGCCGUGUGCCUUCAUCAAAGAAGCUGUGGGUACCCCAUCCCUGGAAGCGCUCAAGGCCAUUUUGGAUUGGGGCCAUGGGCAGCCUGAGCAGUUUAUCCAAAUAUUGAUGUGGGAGUUUGAAUGAAGUGAGGACUAAGAGUACUCUGGACAUUGGUGGACCUGCGACCAGUGGACCUGGUGAUAACUAGUAUUAGAAGAGUUCAUCAACCUGAAGAGUUUGUGCUUCAGAAAUAUACAUCAUUAAGAGGAUUAAGAGAGGAAAUGUGAAAUCAUCAUGCAUUCAUCUUGUGGUGAGACCUAAUUCAGCUCCAACUUUACAGCCAUGGAGACAGUUGUUUUUGACUAAAAAAAAUAAAUCAAAUUUAGAAUGAUGAUCAUUCUUGAAAGUCUAGUUCUUGUUGAGGUAUUAUGCUGAAACUUGUACUCCAGAUCACCCAGAAGAGUCAUGCACUAUCUUCUAUUUAACACAAUAUUCUCAGUAAUGUCAUUGCUUCCUCAUGGCUGUAACAUCAAAGCAAACAAAGAAAAGUUUGUAUUUUCUUUCAGAAGAGUAAGAUCUGCUUCAUGACAAUUUAACCCAACACUCUGAAGAGGAAAUAUUUGCUAAAUAUUGCAUGAAGUAAUAUUGUGUAAUAGUCUUUAUAAAAAAGCAAUGUUCCUUUUUCUUAUUACAGGAAACCAGCAUUGUAACUACUAAGCUGUGGUCCAAUAACAACAUUUUGUUAAUUAUUUUUGAAGAAAUGUGUUAAAGGACAAGUAAUAAAUAAAAAGAAUUGAGAAACACUGACUGUUCUGAGCUUUGUGGGGAUUCAGUGAGUUUCUCUCUGAAUCCCAUCUAAAACACUCUAAGCUUUCCUCUACAUUCUUCCAGCUUAAAUAGAUCUUUGGUCAGAAUCAGUUAAAAAAAAAAAAAAAAAAAAAAAAAAAGCAGGGUGAGGUUUUUUUUAAAAAAAUUGAGAUUUCCAGAGUUUAACUGGAUAUCUGUGAUGUGCAUGACCUCAAGAACUUGCUAAAGAUAUCUUAACAAUUCACUCAUAUAAAUAUUUAUGGUAGGAAUUAAAAGGAAAUGACAGUGAAAUGACAAUCACUGUAAAUCAAACAGGUAUCAUUUAUAAUAGGAUUUUGUGAGAAAGACAAAGGAGACAGGAAAAUGUGUUAUGUUUUCCAGGUGGAAUCAAAUUAUCUGAUCCAAGUAGAGAAGAAGACAAAAAAAAAAGGUGUGAAACUGCUGAAAAAAAUUAUUACAGACCAGACUCAAAUAGAUAAGGCAUUGAGAAAAAAGUUUUUAAUGGGUAGAAAAGUAAGUGAAGAAGUUCAAGGACUUUUAAGCUUAUUCAGCAAAGUAUUCAGACCUUGGUAAAUUGAGAUAAUCAGUUGUCUGUUAUAAAAGUUGUGUACCCAAUCCUGGAAGCUAUUUCAGUUCUUAAUGCUCAUUGACUUCAGUGCGGGUAGUUCCACUAUUAGAGUAUACUUUUAUUCUGCUCACAGAAAACCUUGUUGUUAGGGUUAAAUCACAGUUCCCUAUUUCUUGUCUUUCCAGCACUGGAUAUUAAACUGUAUGUCCUGUUUAGUCAGUCCAGAGAUGGUUUGUGCAACUCAAAAUGCAAGCAAACUGCAUAAUAUAUAAAUGUAUGUUGGGGUAAAGCUAAAAUAAGCAUAGGUGUACAGCUACAGGCAUAUUUGUAUUUGGGCUCUUCAUCAUUUUGUAGAAAAAUGUAUUCUACUGUAGACAACAGCAUCCAUGUUUUAUGCGUUUGAGAAAUCUGACGUCAAGAUGUCAUGUGCUGCAAAAUUUUAACAUUGAGAAGCUAAAUGGAUAAAUUAACUGAAAUUUUAUGUACAGCAUCAUGAUUUCCAAAUUUCUAUUUAAAAGUAGGCCAUGGAAUCCUAAUUUUACUGAAGUAGUAGAGUAUGUAAUGUAGAAAAACUUCAGAAACAAUACUAAAAAACCCUCUUAUUUUUUUAACACGCACAAUAUUCUUCUGUAUUUUCAUAACUUUGUAAAUGCUAUGACUUACCACAAUGGCUUCCAUUAGUAAAAUGAAGUAAAUCAAAGCUAAUUUUUCAUCUGACAUAAAACGAACAGUUAGUUUUUAUUAAUAUAUGUAUUGGAAGUUCUCUUUUUACAUGUUUUUUUUUUUUUUAAUCUUUAAGAAUUAAAAACUUCUGUAUUUUAAUUCAGGAUUAAUAAGAUUAAACACAGUUGUUGACUUCAGAGCUACUUAUAUAAGUUUCAGAAAUGUAAAUAUAUAUAUCUUCUCUUUUGCUACGUGAUGAUUUUAGCAUUACGGUAAUCUAAACAUUGUUUAGUAUUAGCACUGUAGCCUCCAAGAUUGUUUGAAAUUAGAAAGAAAGUUCUGUCCUGAGCAUCUACACAGCUUGGAAAGUAAGUAUUGUUUAUUCUGUUUAUGAAAAUUGCUGGUUGUUUUUUUUUUUUUUUUCUUUAUUUAGUGCUGUGAUCUUACAUCAAUAGUACUUUCUGACUAAGCAGACUAACUAUAUUCUGGAAAACCAAAGCAAUCUUCCUCAUAGGUGCAUUGUUCUAUUAAGCAAAAAAGUUCUGCAAGUAAAGAAAACAUAAUAAAAGAUUAUGUUAUUGUUUUAAAAUAUAGAAUUUAAGAAACAUAACAAUCUAUUGCUUAUUCAAAAUGGCACAGGUAUCAGGACCUCUCUUGACAUUUCAAAGAAGGGCAAUACAGAACUGGCACAGAAACAAAGUUGUUUUUGUUUUGUUUUGUGUUUUUUUUCUUGUUUGUUUUUGGUUUUCUGUUUUUUUUUUAAUUAUUAUUUUUUAUUUGCUAGGACAGGUAUUACAUGUCAAAUGGAGAAUACAGUGAUUCACAUGAUUGCAGGUAUGAUUAAGGGCAUGUGUAAAUUUCACAGGUGCUUUACAGAUUCAAUAAAUUAAAACUGACCUUCUGUCUUGCUGUAUCAGAAAUAAUAUGAGAAUAACUGAAUUAAACCAAUGUUAAUGCAUCUGUAUGUAGGAAAUGAUUUACCUAUAUGAAGUUAUCCAAGGGAAGAAUCACUGCGCAACAGUGGAAGUGAUAAAGGAGGAGGAAAGUAAAACAGUGUAUUACGAAAAUAAUAUUGUUAAAUCAUGUAACAGAAGAAUUAUUUAGCUAUAAUAAGAAUAGAUUAUAUUUACAGAAAUAGAAUAGAAAAUAUCAUUGAGGAGCAGGUAGAGGCGAAAUUCUGUUAACACAUUGUUAAUGCACAAGAAAAACAAGCUAUAGGACACAGCCCUACAUAGCGUGGUUUCCACAGCCUUGCUAGCAUAGAUGUGGAACAGGACCAGGAAAAGUGCAGUUCUGCAGCAACAAACUAACAUAACAUUAGUUCUUAGAACAUUUAGAAGAUUCCUAAUGAAACUGAUAAUAGCUUGUUUUAAUAAAGAGAAAGUUUAAUUGCUUUCCUACUUUUAUCAGUAGCACAACAGUAUUGUUUCUUGAUUAUUAUUCUAUCAGCAAAUGCUAACUUUCUUCUCAUUCCAGUUUGGAAUGAGAAAGAAGAAAAAGAGAAAUUCCAAUAUAUUUGCCAACAAAAUGAAACUGCAGACAGGGAAAAGAGGUGAGAAGAAUGGCUUAAGCACAGAUAUUUUACUAAAAACAUGACAGAGUCAAAGAGUAAAAUGAAUUCAGUCACAGAAUCAUACCUUAUUAAAAGAAUGCACAUAACUUUGCCUUUUUAGUGAUCUAAAAAUGAUCUACAAGUAGCCAUGAACAAGAACAGUUCACGAACAUACACAUGGUACCUUAAUUAACAAAAGAAUAUCAUCAUCACAAUACAAGCCACUAAAGAAAACAAAUAUUUUAUGAUUACUGGUUUGUCUCAUCCUACAACUAAAAAUAUGCUCUAAUAAGAACAGCUACAGGAAAACCCCGAAAGCCACAGCAGGUUACAGCACCAUCUUCUCCUUUACUGUCUUAACAUACAUUCUAAAAGAAAACUCUCUACUUCCUUUAUGGAAAUAAAUAUCAAAUAAAAGCAACACAAGAAAAAAAGACAGGAAAAAUAUAACAAGCAAUUAUGACAUGCCAAAUUUAUAUUUUAAUCUAGUUUAAGAUGCAAAAUUUUACUGAAAAAAAAAAAAAAAAGAGAAACAGGCCUUAUAAAAGGCCUCUAAUUAAAAAAAACCUCUAAUUAAGACCAAUUAACAAAUACACAAUUGUGACAAAUGGUGCUGAAAGAACUGAUAGAAGGCAUCUGGUUCAGCAGUUGAAGUUUAUUAAUCAUCUAUCCCAUAAAUAGUGGGAUAGUAGGACUUUUCUUCCUGGAGUACUGAACAUGUUAAGGAAGUAAUUGUACAGUUGUUUGGACAUGUUAGAGUAUAUGAUUUGCCUGCCCAUGAGGAAAGAUGCCCUCCUAUGUCUGUUGUUUGUGAACAGAGAAUGUCUCAAGGGUCAAGGUCAAGUAGCAGUUGCUGGCUGUCUUAGCUAUAAAGUCCAUGAGUUCCAAAUCUUUAGCAAUAGGAGGAAAACUGCCAACAAAACCUCAACCCUGGUUAUGGACUGAGCAGGUUUCAGGCUGCUCAUGGAAUUAGUUAAAUAGGUUCUCUAGGAAACUAAUGGAUCUUCAUGCCUUCAAAGGCAGUUUUGAUCACUUUUCAAGUACCAUCUCCAAAAAAGCAAAGGAACAGAUAAUUGCAACAUGUUGGUAGUCAAGUAGGCAGGGCAGGGAGAUCUAGACAAAUUAGAGAGCGAGGCAAUCACCAAGCAUAUGACCUUACUUCUGGCCACAUUCAUUUUCCACCUAAGCUCUAGGAGAUCCCUAUUCAGCCAAGCCAGCAAUGGGUUUUGCAAGUAAUAUGGUUAUGAAAGCACAAAACUCACCACAGGCUGCCAAACUUGACUGAAAAACUGGUUACAGGCUCUGGCAGUUUCAAGCCUCUCCAGCAAGUUUUGGGGACAGUGACAUUGCUCUAUUUUAUCUAUUGUAGCCUGAGAGCUGUAAGAUAGAACAUAAACCCGCUCAAAACCUUUGUCCUUUUGGAAGCAUCAUUUCCUAAAGAAUUUAUUCAUUUUUAAAUGUCAGACAACUGGAUGGCCAUCAGGCAGUGAAUAUUUGCAGAAUAAGAUCCCAUAUGAAUACCCUCAAAAUGUCUCUACCUUUGUAGUCAGCACUUUUUCACUAGCAAGGUCAAAGUAAAUAAAAUUUCAUGAGAAGGGAGAAAUAUAUUAUUUAUAGGUAAACAGUGUAAAUAAAGCGAAAAUGAAAGUAGUAGGACACAGUUUUUUUCACUGACUGCUAGUAAAUUUGACAUUAAAUUUAGAAAGUGUAAGAAAGAUGACCAUUGGACUACAUAUCCUAUGACUGGCUUAACACAACAAUAGGAUCAGUGAGCCUUAGGUGGGACAAAAUUAACAACUUAUCUACAAGAGGAGAAACAGUGCUGUCAGAGAGUGGGACUCACCAAGUUAUAAAGUAGAAACAAGCCAAUCAGCAAGGACUGUAAGGCCAAAUGACUCAAGAAAAAGCUUCUGACUAAGGAGAGGGACAGAUGAUACAUUUCGGUGGAGGGUAAAGGUUUAUGUUUGAACAUAUGAGUUGUUUAGGCACAUUUCUUCUUAAUGAUUUUUCUUCUUAACACAGUCUCCAAAAGACUGAACCAAGAGCUGAUUUAUUUUUGUUUUUAGACAUAUAACUCUCUAUUUAAAAAUAGCAGAAUCUCAAGAGUAAUAAAGCUUCUACUCUUUCUUGGAAGUAUAUGCAUAGGGAUUACUCUUGAAUCUCUCCAUUUAACUAGUUUAAGAAAAUAAAGCUUUUAUGCAUUCUUAGGGGGAUGUAUAAUAGAAAAAGAGAGGCAUAAAUAAAGUACAAUAAUUUUUUUGUUGUUGUUUUUAUUGUCCUACUUCACAUUAACAACUCCAUUCAUGGGGAGUACAUUGUUUUCAAUAUGCUUUAUUGGGGCAUAUUCUCAUAUGCUAAAUGAAUAAUGCAAAAUAGAAAUAAGAGUAUUCCUAUUGGUUGUUGAAGCAUAUUACCUUUUUUUACCUAUUGAAAACAUUGAGUCUGCUAGCCUGCAAAAUUGCAUUUCUUCUCAAAACUUGGGGCUGGGGGUGGGGUUUUAAUACGCAUCCUGUUGAGUUCUGUGUAAGCUAAACUCUUUCUGGCACCAUCAAAAACAUUUCAUACUUUAUACAUUUCCAGUCCUGCUGAAAAACAGUAGGUCCUGACUUGAAGCCAAAUGCAAACUUUUUUUUACAGCUGGAUACCCUUGUGACUAACCACUCAGGAGUGAUACCAUUGUGUUCAGUGCCAAACUCCUACAACAAGCAGAUAGACGUGUUUUUUAUUUCCUUUGGUUUCUACUAAACUGACAUGCAUUCCACUCUCAUGACAGAGGCCUUUUCAAGUGGGAAUUUCUUUAAAGGCAAGGGAAAUCUAUUUAAAUUAAGGUAGGAGUACAAAAUCAAACUUUCUCAUAAUUUACUGCAAGCAGUAAGUCAUCAAAAAGUUAAUAGCCCUGAAUAUAUUUUGAAUGUAUUUCGGUGAUCUCUACUGUGGCAUUAAAUUUAAAAUAGUGAUUCUCUGAUCUGUGUUCAGAGGUAGAAGAUUCACGUUCCACUGUUUUUAACACGCUCUCCCUCCUGCUCUGCCUAAUCCUGAAACCAGCUUGAGAUGGCUUCAGAAAUCCAACCUGCCUGCGCGUCUACGCAGAGGUUGGGCAGACCUCACUGGUCAGGAGGCAUAAUCCACUGGUCCAGACAGCUCUUGAACCUCCUUUAUGACCAGACUAGAGGCAGUUUAGAUAUAGGUCAAGUCUGUCAUAUAGCCUAAGCACCACUUUUAUUGCCAUUCCAUGAGAGACUCAACUAUGCUACGAAAGAUAAAGCAAUGAGUGAAAUGGAUACCAAACAACAACAUCCAAUAAGCAAUCUGUAAUAUUAACAGAAGUUUUUGUCUUUGCUGAAACGUAGGUCAAAAAAGACCUCUGUAUGUAGUUAUCAAGCAUAAACACCUAUAAUUAGUAUAGAAAGAACAGAAAUGGUCCAGUGAAAAGCUGGGGCCUUUUAUCUUUCCUAGGAGAAAUUUCCUACUGUGCUUUUAGGAUGAAAAAAGUGCCAUCAACCAAGAUGAAAAAGACAAGCUGUACAGCUUGAAGACAGUUUCAACACUGUAAUGUCUAUGUUACACAGGCAUGUGUGGUCUGCACCUUGUGAUUUCUCUGAAACAAAGCAUGUAGUAUAUUUAUGUAGACUUUUUUCCAUGUCGUCAAAAGAAAACCUUUAGCUUUGGUAGUUUACAAAGGAAGUCUGGAGAAAGAAUUGGCAUACAAUAGUGUUCAGUAAAGAAAGGCUUAUCAGCUUACCAAAUGUAUGACUAUAAAGAGCAAGCUGAACUUUAUGCAUAAGGGACUAUUAUAUAAUCUGUUCAAUUGAUUUCAUGUAUACCAACAUGAAACAAGCCAUACCCAAAAACUUUGGUUUUACAAUGAAUAAAUGAAGGACAGGAUAUUAUUAUCAAUAUUAAAUAUAUAUAUGUAUAUGUAAAGGUUUACAUUAAUAGCUAGAUGGAGAAUAGGAAAAAUAUUUCUUCAUCAAAAAACUUGGAAUCAUGCCUUCCAAAGAUUUUCUACAGUGUUUAAAUUAUAAAACACUUCUAACCAUGGAAUGCUAUCUAAAUUGCCAGAAAGAGUUAUCAUUUGUGUUUAUUCACCGUACAAAAAGUGACUAACGCCUUCACCUAUCAACCAAAGAGAUGAUAUGACAUUGGAAAUACUCUGCUGCCUCACGUUUGCUUGACUGUAAAUCUUUCAGCUGUGUCAAUUCUGGAGUCCCUUUCUGUGACCUAGGCUGUCUACUCAUCACCACUCCAGUGAAGACCUCUUCUUACAGAUAACCAUUAAAGCUUCCUCUCCCUUCUUGAAGCCCGGACAAUGGAACACCCUCAGCACCACAAAGGGUCAAUAUUGCAUGUAGGCUGUUAUUUUUAUGGUAGAGAUUAGUUGCAUUUCUCACCAACAGCUGAGCAAAAAGCUGUCACCAGAAUUCCGUAUCUUCUGGCAAUAUCCAGGCUGAAUAAAUACAAACAUUCUUUAUAAGCCAUUUUUCUUCCCUUAUGUGGGGCAGCUUUUCUCUAAAGUAGUGUUAACACUCUGAAAAUCAAUCUACCCAUUUAACACUAUGGUCAUCCUCAGAAAGAGCAGUGAUUCUAAGUGAUUCACAAACAUACACAGUAACCAAUAAUAACAAUAUUUGACUGAGGGUUUGAACUUUCACAUAAGCAUGCGUACUUACACAGAUUCAUGCAUACUGUAUAUACCUCACUUCUAGAGGUAAUAAACAAUGAUAUGCUUCAAAGUCAAA